UUCCGGUUGAUCCUGCCGGACCUGACUGCUAUCGGAUUGAUACUAAGCCAUGCGAGUCUUUGCAGUAAUGCAAGGCAGACGGCUCAGUAACACGUAGUCAACUUACCCUAUGGACGAGGAUAAUCUCGGGAAACUGAGCAUAAUACUCGAUAGAUCAUAAUGCCUGGAAUGGUUUAUGAUUAAAAUGAUUCGUCGCCAUAGGAUGGGACUGCGGCCUAUCAGCUUGUUGGUGAGGUAAUGGCCCACCAAGGCGAUUACAGGUACGGGCUCUGAGAGGAGAAGCCCGGAGAUGGGUACUGAGACAAGGACCCAGGCCCUAUGGGGCGCAGCAGGCGAGAAAACUUUGCAAUGUGCGAAAGCACGACAAGGUUAAUCCGAGUGAUUUCUGCUAAAGAAAUCUUUUGCAAGUCAUAAAACCACUAGUGAAUAAGGGGUGGGCAAGUUCUGGUGUCAGCCGCCGCGGUAAAACCAGCACCUCAAGUGGUCAGGAGGAUUAUUGGGCCUAAAGCAUCCGUAGCCGGCUCUGUAAGUUUUCGGUUAAAUCCAUGUGCUCAACGCAUGGGCUGCCGAAAAUACUGCAUAGCUAGGGAGUGGGAGAGGUAGACGGUACUCAGUAGGAAGGGGUAAAAUCCUUUGAUCUAUUGAUGACCACCUGUGGCGAAGGCGGUCUACCAGAACACGUUCGACGGUGAGGGAUGAAAGCUGGGGGAGCAAACCGGAUUAGAUACCCGGGUAGUCCCAGCUGUAAACGAUGCAGACUCGAUGAUGCAUUGGCAUAUAGCCAGUGCAGUGUCGCAGGGAAGCCGUUAAGUCUGCCGCCUGGGAAGUACGUACGCAAGUAUGAAACUUAAAGGAAUUGGCGGGGGAGCACCACAAGGGGUGAAGCCUGCGGUUCAAUUGGAUUCAACGCCGGG
rnacentral:rRNA from 1 species